rnacentral:lncRNA from 1 species
AAAACUAGGCAUAUGCUCUUGAUUUCUAUCGUUGGCAAUUUGUGGGCCCUGGAUAAGUGUUUGCUAUUUGCAUGUGUCUGGGGAAGCACCCUAGGAUACUAAGGAUAAAGAAGAGAGAUGGGAAGACAAAAGAAACAAAUAGGACUGAGAUACAGAUGAAGAACUGACAGUCUAUCCUGUUCUAUGCAGGCAGAUGAGUGUCACAGCUGUAACUGAGGCACAGAGCAGUACACACAGUGGAGCCGAUUUCCGCGAUGGCGAGAGGGGGCACCGGAGGUGACAACAAUAACAAGACUGUCCUUCGGACAAGUUUUAGGUAAGAAAAUAUUUAUGCCCUGAUUCUUGUAUUUCUGCACUUUGUGUCUGCAACAUUGGGAUAGAAAGCAACUCUGGAUAGGGAAAUAUCUUUGUGAGGGUAUCAUCUGUGCUGUCACUUGCCUGCAAACCUGUGUUCUCCGGGCUUUGUGUUACUGGAAUCGUCGGAGGUGAAGUGUGAGCGGAGCUGAGUGGAAGGGUGAGCUGCUUUUUGUGUCUGUCUGGUGAUAUUCAGCACGCUGUUUAAAUUUAUAUCUGGAAAAAAAUUCUGUUUGAUGAUAGUUAGCAAUGUUUUGUGCAACGUAGAAGAGCAUAUGGCCAUGCAGAAUUCAAGGGAUGCUCUUUCAUUCUUAAUUUGUAAUUAUUUUUACACUCAACUGUACUGAGGUCAGAGAGUUUCAAAAAUUAAUGAGAUUCCCUGUGGAGUUCAAAUAGUAAUAUCUACGUGAGCUGUCACAAAAAGAUAAGAUUAUGAUGGUAUGUUUUCAACAUAGAUUUAACUGUCUUAUUUGGAACAUACUCCAUUUGAAAUAUAUAUGAAAUGUACAAUAGUUUAUGGAAGCCUAUAUGUUUUUGGAAAUUAGUUGGUUUUUUUUAAUGAUGAGGAGAAAUUGACUCAAAAUUAGACUGUAGAGGAUGAACACUUUGUGUAGAGAUAUUACUAAAACUUAAUAGACAUUGUUAUGGCAAUAGAGAAUAUCUUAUACUUUCGAGGAAAUAAGAAAUAAUGAAUGAGUCGCACGCUAAAAAGAAAUCUGCAAAUGUGUUUUCAUUUCAAGUAAUACAAAAAAACUCAGCAGAUAUUUAUAGUGAAACAUUGCUGGCAUGAACAAAGAAGCAAGUGUACACAUAGAUGAGAAUUCUUUGUCACAAAAAUGAGUCCAGGACAUCGAUUUAGGAGGUUAAGUGAUUUUUAUGUUCUUAGUGCCCCACAAAAGGGAGUCUAUUGGGAUGAGUCCAGACAUUUAAAAAUGUACCAAAAACUUUCAUUUCCCACAAUUUAAAAGCAUUGUUUAUGUUCCUGAUACAACACAUUGUUUAAAUGAGGGGGACCGAAAAGCAGUCUGAAUAUGCAGUAAUCGGGGCUAAAGAUGGUUUUUAUCCCCAGGUCCCCAUUUACAAGAUCCAUUCGGAGCUUCCUGUGAUAUAUUGUUAUGUAAAUACUGUUCAGCCAGGGAAAGCAGUACUAUGGAGAUUCAAUUUACUUUGAAAGUUGUUCAUUAUAGCAGGGAUGAAUGUUAUUUAUUUGAUGUGAUUCAAAGGCUGGAAAUGACUUUUUCAUUGUGGCACCUUUUGUAAUGGGUGCAGGGUGAUCUAAUCUUUUUAAUUUUGGCUUUCACACCAGUGGAGAUGAAAAGAGAUCUGAACUCAUUUAUCGGUUGCUAGGUCCUUCUGGAGGCCCAAGUCCUGUUGGUGGUUGCUAUGGCCAGUCUGACCUCAAUCUCCGUGGUUUUGGGGACUUAGCAGUCUUUUUUUCUUAUUGAGGAGCAUGUACCUUGAUUUAUGUCCAAAAUCGUGGCUGAACGUCUUUGUCUGCAAGUGAUAAAUGGUGCCGAGCAAUUCAUCAGUUCUUACAAGUAAACACUGCUGUCCCA